UACGUAGGGAGCGAGCGUUGUCCGGAAUUACUGGGUGUAAAGGGAGCGUAGGCGGGAUGGCAAGUCAGAUGUGAAAACUAUGGGCUCAACCCAUAGACUGCAUUUGAAACUGUUGUUCUUGAGUGAGGUAGAGGUAAGAGGAAUUCCUGGUGUAGCGGUGAAAUGCGUAGAGAUCAGGAGGAACAUCGGUGGCGAAGGCGGCUUACUGGGCCUUUACUGACGCUGAGGCUCGAAAGCGUGGGGAGCAAACAGG
rnacentral:rRNA from 1 species